UGCUAGAGUUGGAAGGCGGUUUACUGGUUCCCUGGUGCACAGAAAGUGUGAGUUGGGGAGGAGGGUCAGGAAGAACUUGGGAUUUUGUACAGGGUAGCACCUGAACCAAAGCCACAGAGUUAAUGAAUCCAGUUUGCCCAGAACAGUGUUGACUCUCAUGUCGUCUGGCUACUUGGUUGUUACAUCAUAAAUGCUUAUGUGGCUCUUGCCGCUUGGACACCACAACAAUUCUACCUCUAGUCCUACAGAGGUCAGACAGAUGUUCCCUACUUAAAAAGUCAGGAGGACUUUCGGUGGCCCUAAGGGCCAGGGCACCCACCGCCUCUCUCUCUGGCCCUGGAAGAUCUUCAAGCUAGCGAUCGUCUCAAAUCUGGGUGAUUCUAGAACAAAGACAGAGUUGCAUCCCAUUUUAACCCAGCUUGAGCAGGCACAGAACUUUGGAACCAGGCCUUACUCCUGUCCAGGUGCUCCUGGAUUGCUUUGCCUCUGAACUUUUCCUUUCUGACCUUGCCCUUUGGAGUCCUCUAAUUCAUCUCAUUCUUGCCUUUCUGGAUUGAAAGAAUAGAAGAAAGAAGAUCAGAUCUGACGAGUUUCGCCUGUUCUUGAAACCAGUGCACAUGGACUCACCCUCCACUUUGUUUUUGCUGAAUUAUUUUAAAGCAAACCCCGGAUCGCAUGUUAUUUCAUCUCUACAUAAUUUGUAAGUAAUUCUGAAAACAUUUUCUUACAUAAUCACAAAGCCAAUGAGAUUAUGUAAAAAGUCUUCCUAACAAGCUGCUGUGAUUAUCACCACUUUCCAGGAAUCAAGGAGCCCUUUGUUUUGCACAC